rnacentral:rRNA from 1 species
GACGAACGCUGGCGGCGUGCUUAACACAUGCAAGUCGAACGGGAUUUAGUAAACAGACGCCUCGGUGGAAGAUUACUAAUGAGAGUGGCGAACGGGUGAGUAACGCGUGAGCAACCUGCCUAUGACAGUGGGAUAGCCUCGGGAAACCGGGAUUAAUACCGCAUAAAAUCGUAGAAACACAUGUUUUAACGGUCAAAGAUUUAUCGGUCAUAGAUGGGCUCGCGUCUGAUUAGCUAGUUGGUGAGAUAACAGCCCACCAAGGCGACGAUCAGUAGCCGGUCUGAGAGGAUGAACGGCCACAUUGGAACUGAGACACGGUCCAAACUCCUACGGGAGGCAGCAGUGGGGAAUAUUGCACAAUGGGGGAAACCCUGAUGCAGCGACGCCGCGUGAACGAAGAAGGUAUUCGUAUCGUAAAGUUCUGUCCUAUGGGAAGAUAAUGACAGUACCAGAGAAGAAAGCUCCGGCUAAAUACGUG